rnacentral:tRNA from 1 species
AAGGAUUUAAGUUAAAUUAAAACUCUUAACCUUCAAAGUUAAAUAUAGAAAAAAUUCUAAGCCUUA